GGGCGCAUAGCUCAGCGGAAGAGCGUCCGCCUUACACGCGGAAGGUCACAGGUUCAAAUCCUGUUGCGCCCACCA
rnacentral:tRNA from 1 species